UACAGAGGGUGCAAGCGUUAAUCGGAAUUACUGGGCGUAAAGCGUGCGUAGACGGUUGCGUAAGUCAGAUGUGAAAGCCCCGGGCUCAACCUGGGAAUUGCAUUUGAGACUGCGUAGCUAGGGUGCGGAAGAGGGAAGCGGAAUUUCCGGUGUAGCGGUGAAAUGCGUAGAUAUCGGAAGGAACACCAGUGGCGAAAGCGGCUUCCUGGUCCAGCACCGACGUUCAGGCACGAAAGCGUGGGGAGCGAACAGG
rnacentral:rRNA from 1 species